UCUUCUAGGAAUCAAGGGGGACGACUCGACUAAAAGGUACGUCUUAUAGUAAUCAAAGGGGGAUGACUCGAUUAAAAGGUACGUCUUAUAGGAAUUAAGGGAAAUGAAUUGACUAAAAGGUACGUCUUUUAAGAGUCAAGAGGAAUGUCUUGACUAGAAGGUACGUUUCCUAGGAGUGAAGGUUCAAUUUAAGAAGUGUAUCACCUAGCAAAUGAAAACUGAAAUCCCUGGACAAGUGUGUCUCCGAGGGAUAUAGGAUGAUGAAUUUUUACCAUGAUUUUAUUAUCAAACCUGUGCAUCAAUAUUGCUUUCUGCAUUUUUAAAAGUGAGGCAUUGCAACCCUUGAUGUUUAUGCUCUGAAGUCCCUGCUUUGAAGGUAAUCUGUUUCCUGUUACAUCAAAGAAAACUUGUGAGUUUAAAACAUGGUGGCUGGUUUAUGGCUUUAGCUUUAGCGGAGAUCGCUCUUGCCCUUGUCAUAUUUAAACUUGCUUCCAAUCAUUAACAUAUAUCAUUGACUUGCUGAAUCAUUGACCCGAACUAAGAUUAUUAAGAGUGAUUGAAACAAAAACAGUAUCUCUGCUUUGCGAUGCUUCUAAGAUAGACCCUUUGAACCUUGGUAUUUCCAUGAGUUCCUCAACUUAUCUAUUGACAAAACUUUCUGCAUGCCCUUUUUUUUCGGCUCACAAUAAUGUCUCUUUCAUGUGCUAGCUUUUGUCUUGCUUUGUGAAAUUAAAGAAGCUGGUAUCCAGUUUUAAAAUUUUUUCUCACUUGUUUUGACAGGGAUUUGACUCAAAGAUAAGAAAGAAAAAAAAUAAUAACAAUUUUUUUUAUUCGGAUAACUGACUCAAGAAAGAUAAAACAAAAAUAAAAAAAAAGAAAGAAAAGACAAUGAAUGUUCCUAUUUGAAACAAAGAAACGAAAAAUUCAUCUAAAAAUGAUAGUCAACUCUAAUGAUUAUGCCAUGCAUUUUGGAUUAAGCAACUUGAUCUUUUCAUCCAAACUUUCUACCAAUUGUUGUUGAGUUAAUGGCCUUGAAACUGAGUUGCUUUCUUAGGCCAAAUUCAUUCAGAAACCUCAUUCGGCUAGUGGUGCCUUGAAGGGUUUUUGCCAACAAACUUGUUUCUUUCUCUCAGCUCACCAUUGCCUUGUGGUGCCCGUGAGGGUUUUCACUAAUAAGACUCUCUCAUUUUUAUUUCUCUCAACUUACUAUCGCCUUACGGUAUCAGUGAGGGUUUUAACUAAUAAGACUCUCUCAUUUUUAUUUCUCUCCUGAUUUCUUAUGCUGAGGAAGACAAGUAGUACCCAAAAUACAUCAUCAUAUCCAUUGCAUACUUAGCCUUAGCAUUUUCAAAGAUUAAUCUGAAGGUCUUUCUUUGGUUGUAACUUGACUUUUGGAUAAGUUUAGGAAGAAGGGAUGACAUGAGUCCCAAAUAACACUUGAAGUGGUGUAGGACUUACAACUUUUGGAAUAGACUCAAAAAAUGAGGAUUAACUCAUGCCUCAGUUUCUUUUGACUGGGUAAUUCUAAAUUGUUUAUUUGGUUGGACCGAGCCUGGAGUAGGGCAGCCUACGUAUCUCACCCCCGAAAGAGGAGAAUCAGGUCACGCAUAGUUCCGACAGCUUGUUCUUUUGCUUGAUUAUGAUUUUUUUCUUUUUUUUCUUUUGUUGACUCUUUUAUUGACUUUUUUUUUGCUUUUUAGGACCUUCUGACUCUAUUUUUUUCUUGAUGCUCUUUUCUUUUCCUUUUUUUGGACACAUUUUUUCUCUGAUUUCUUUUUGAAACUUUUUGACUCUGUUGUUUUGCUCGACACUUUUUCUUUUAAGCUUUGCUGAUUCUAUCUUGAUUCCAAAAGAGACGUAUGAAAGAAAAUAACACUAAGGCUCAAAUGGGGUAAACAAAGAACGACACAAUGUUUGAAUAGCAGAAUGAAACGCCUUCGUCAUAUCAAUCCUUGAAGAUGCUAGUAUAUAGCAUGGAAUGUAAAAGUACACGAUCAAUAUCACUCAUGACAUAUUUUACAACACUAACUUUCCCCGAGCAUAUGUGCCACCUUUUCUUCUACACUUGUCGAAUAUACAACUCCACCUUUGUUGUACAUCCCUCACAUUGAAUGACUCAUGCUUUCGUAGAGUUGAUUUUCUUUUUGUUCCUCUUGAUAGGAUUACGCAGACACUGUUUGACCUAACUAAGACAUGUCUUUCAAUUGAUGAUCAAGUUAUUCUUGUGAUUCUCAAAAUAAUUGCCUUAAUUUUCAAAGAAGGCUUGAACUUGUCACCAAAUGUCUCAGAACUCUACCUAUUUUCUCAGAUGCUCUCUUUCCUAACUUUAACUCUCUAAUUCAAUGUUCAUGCUCAAACUGGAUUUUAAGAUCUGACUGAAAAUUCCGCAGGCAUGUCAUAUCACUAGAAUCAACAUAAAAUAUACUGUAUAAAGAAAACAAACAAACAACACAUAUUUGAAACAUAAAAGGAAAGGGACACUUCAUUUAGUUAAAAUAAAAGAUAAAAGGGUUUGAACAUAAACGACAAAGGGACAAAAUAAGAUAGAUCCCGAACUAAAACCCUAAAAUACUCCAGAAAAUAAAAAAUAAAACAAAACAAACUACCAAACCUCUUCCUAGUAGGGAGAUGGGUGACUUCUCAAUUGCUUAGCCUGACAACUUAGCCACUGGUUUGCAUAUCAACAUGACUAGAGCUUUCCUCACUAUCAAUGUUCUGCACCAUAAUCGAUCCAUCUUGAAUUAUAUUUUCAAUUUCUCUUUUCAAAUCUCGACAGUCUUCAAUACCAUGACCCUGAGCAUCAGAAUGAUACGCACAUCGUGCAUUAGGAUCAAAAUUUCUUGAACGCCGAUUAAGAGUAAACCUAAGGAGAGGAGUGAUUAUGCCCCAUUGUACCAAUAUCUAAAAUAAACUGGCAUACGACUCUCCAAUUGGUGUAAACUAUCUCUCGACUUUUUCCUCAUUUCAUCAUUUGACUUGGAUCAAAAAUCAGGCUUAGAAGAGUUUUGGUAUGUUUGUGGAGUUAGAGGAUAACUCUGAGGAGUUGGUGUGUUCCACUAUUGGUAAGAUGAGGGUUGAAUAUGUGGUUGUACGUUAUAUACUGGAUAUGGAGGGGGAGGAGCAUAGUAUAAAGGAUUUUGGGAGUGAUUAUAUAAAGCUUGGGCAUGAACUUGGGCUUGUGCCUGAGAGUGACGACGACGUGGUCUUCUUGACCUUUCCUGUUGUCCAACUACAAUAGCAGAUGCAUCUUCCUCAUUCUUUUUCUCCCCAACACUUCCUGAACCCUUUUGAAUUGCUUGAUUAGUCGCUUUCAAUGUUGCAAAACUCACAAUGCGACCAGUCUUAAUUCCCUCUUCUAUCAUCUCCCCCAUUUUAAGGACCUUUAUAAACGGCUUUCUUUCAUUGGCGGUUUUACUCUAGCAGCUUGUUCGCGACAUCUGAUCACAUACUCUAUGAAACUCAGUAUUCUUCUUCUUCUUCAUACUGGUUAGGGAUUUUUCGUCAGUGAUCAACUCCACAUUGUAUUGAAAUUGUUUCACAAAUUCAUUAGCUAGGUCAUCCCAACUAAUUCACUUGUCGAUGUCUUGGUCAAUAAACCAUUCCGAAGCUAGGCCAGAAAAACUCUCCUCAAAAUAAGCCACGAGUAGUUCUUUCUUCCCUCAGUGCCUCUUAAUUGGUUACAAUAACACCUCAAAUGUGUCAUUGGAUCUCCGUGUCCAUCAUAUUUCUCAAACUUUGGCAUUUUAAAAUCAAGAGGGAGAUGAACACCCGGAAACAUGCUCAGAUCUUUAUAUGAGACACUUUUGUAACCCCCAAGUCCUUGCAAGUUCUUCAUAGCCAGUUCCAAACUUCUCAAUUUUCUGGUCAUUUCCUCUUGUUCUUCUAUCAUAACAAGCUUCUUAGUGUUAGGAAGAAAUUCAGGCGGGUGAGUGUCACCAUAAAGACCAGUCAACUUGAAUGUAGGCUCGAAAGUGUAACGCUGAUCACCAAUAAUAUUCAAUACAAGCUCUCUUGUAGAGUAGGGAGGCACAACUUGUGGAUGAACAUCAAAAGUAGGAGUUUCACGUGGGGUGGCACCACAAAAUCAUGAACAACAGGUGGAGACGAGUAUGUGGUAGUCUUGGAUUGGGGAGUGAGAAAAUGAACAUUGGAUGUGCUUGGAUAUUGUUGCCCCAGAGUCGAUCCUGAUGCAUGUUGUGGCAUAUCAACAAAAAUGGAAAAUUGUGCAUGCGACACGGGAAACAAGCUAGAAAGAUAUUUUAGAUUAUCAAUGGGAACUGGAGGAGGCGGCAACCCAUUAGCCUAAGCUCGACGCAUUUCUAUCAUCUGCUGUCUUAAUUUCCGAAUCUCUUUAUUAUCUCCUAAAUUCUCAUUUCUCGAACUCCCUAUCUGAUUAGUGACAACAAACUCGAUAUCCUUGUUGGCCAUAACUUUUUCUAUGACUUGGUGCAAUAUGGGGGACCAUCCAAAAUGCCACAAACCAACCACCUUAAACUAACUGAACAAGAGAUAGCAAAUGCAUUAGAAUUCAACACUUUUUCUUCAAAACCUUUUUUUUCUUUUUGAAAAGAACACCGAACCCAAGAAGGGCGCCUACGUAUCUCACUCCCGAGAGAGGAGAAUCAGGUGUGUGUAGUUCGUGAAGUCUUGCCAAAAUGGCUAAUUAAUUCUUUUUCCUUUCUUUUUUUUCUUGAAACUUUAAAAAGAAAAGGAAAUAACAAAUUGUCAAAAGAAUUGACAAUUUUAUUUUCUUUUUUCUUUUUGUAUUUUCAAUUUUAAACUCCCUAUACAAAAUGAAACCUAUGAUUACCAAAGAAUUUUUUUUUUUGGAUUUUCGAUAUUGAAUUUCAUAUGAAAAUGAAACAUGAACCUAUUAAAGGAAUUUUUUUUUUGUAGUUUUAUUUUAAAGAUGUAUAUGAAACACCUACUCUAAUAAAGAGUGAAGAAAAUCUCUUUUUCUGGAACUUUUCAAAUAAGAUACCCGAACCAACAAUAGGAUGCCUACGUAUCUCACUCCUGAGAGAGAAGAAUCAGGGGUGCGUAGUUCGUCCAGAUUGGACAAUUAAGGAUUAAUUAACAAACUACACCAAACUUGAGAGGCACGACCAAAGACUAACUAUGAAAAAUGUUAAUAAAAUCUUUUUUAGAGUUUUCAACUUGACACUUCAAAUAAAAAUGACACCAACAAUUAUGAAAGAAAAAAUCUUUUUGGUAUUUGCAUUACAUGAAAUGUAAAAUUUUCUACCAUUUUUUGCAUUUUCUUUUAUAAAAACUGCUAAAUUUUUUUUUUUUUGAAAAUUUCGAAUUAUGAAUGCAUGCUAAAGGAGACAAAGUGAGAAAUUUUCUUGAUGUUUUGGCUUUUGAACAAAUGAGUGCAAAAAAUAAAGAAAUCUUUUUGAAAUUUUGAAUCGUUGAAAAACAAAAGCCAUAAAGAACUCUAAAACUACGAAACUCUUUUUUUCUAUUCGACUCACUUUUCUUUUCUCAUUUUUUUUCACUUUACUUCUAACACAAGUUUUCCCCAAAUCAAUCUGUCAAAUGACAAUAUUUAGCACGUAGGGAUGCUUUAGAGGUGAGUCUCCUACAAAGGACUAAGUAGGACCCGCUAGGUCUUCAAUAUGAUGCACAUAAGCAUGACCUAAAGGCUGACCUACGUUGGGGUUCACUAACAAGGCUGUUCGGGGGAGCGUAUGGUCGAUAGGGGAUCUUUGCUUUCCACCUACUCCAUAACACCGACGGAUUCCCCCUAAAAUAAGGGUGACUCAACUAGAGGUCGUGUACAACACGUGUACUAUAGACUUGUUGCAGAAAGAAUGACUCGGGUUAUGCACAUAAUGCCAUAUAUAAAACGGUAACACACAAAAUAAAACUGUAAACAAAGAGCACGUAGACACUCAACAAUGAUAAACAAUAACACAAAAUAACACAAACAAUAUCUAUACACCCAAAAUGUCAAACAAAGCCGAUACAACUCAAAAAAAUUAGCUCAAAUUCUGAAAACUCCCCAGCAGAGUCGCCAGAGCUGUCACACCUCAUUUUUUACUCCAAAAAGAUUAUUUAAGGUUCGAAAGGGUUUUCAUUAUUAAAGUGACAAAAAAUGAAAAUUUUGUUUCAAAAAGGAUUAUUUACAUUUAAACUCAGAGUCACCACUUGACAUAAUUGGGUGUGCCAAGUCAUAUUAGGAAAAUCCUUUUCGAAAUAAUUUGACACUUAAAAAGACUGAUUUGCGAAUAGAGAUUUCGGCUAAGGAAUUCUGUUGACUGAGGGGAAGGUAGUAGGCACCCCUCGAUCCCGUGGUUCGAUCAUGGUCUCUUGGUGAAGCGUAUCGUCUCAUUUUGACACUAUGAAUGUACAAACCACACAAAAACACGUAAAACAGUCAAACAAACAAACAAAAGAAAAACUAAUCAAAAGUACAGUAUCCAGUCCAAUUUAUACAGUCCAAAAUAGAAAAAUACAAAAAUAAACCCUAUCUAACCUACACUAAUACUAACUACACUCCCUUGCUUUACCCGAUGCCUCGGGACUUCCUCACGAACGUCUUUUGCCAACAUAGUACGUCGGGACAUUCCCCGGUGAAUAAAUCAAGGUGUAUCGGGGCAUUCCCCGGCUAAAUAAAUACAUUUGAAUUAAAUAUGAUAAACUAGAAACCAAACAUUCACACGUGCAUUAAACAUUCAAAACAUUUAAUAAACACAUCACUCCUAAAUAUUUGCCUACCCAAACCUACUUUUAGCUAUUCAUUCGAUGACCUAAUCAUGAUGCUAGCCAAUUCAACAGUAUCCAGUAAUGAAUCAAAAUAAUCAACCUUCGACUUAUUCGAUUAUCAAUUUUCAAUCCUGACCCCCAAACAAAUUCAAAUCCUUUAAUUACUCUAUUCACAUGAAUCAGUCAAUCAAUAUCAACCAUAGUAAUCACGAUUGCUUGAACACAAUAUCAAAACAUAUCCUCACAUCAUAACAUCAACCAAAUGCCAUAUUUGAUCCGAUACACCGAAUACCAUAACUAUUAAAAUAAAAGAGAAAGAGAAAAGAAUUGGACCUCAAGACGAAGCUUUCAAAAUCCAAUAUUACUUGAAUGAGAAGACGUAUUCCGCCACCGGAGACCUCGAAUUGAACCUCGACCCAACAAACCGGAGCUCAAUACACCCCUUUUCUCCAUUUUCGCCAACCCAAAUUGAAAACCCCAAAACGAAGGUAAAUUAGUACCAAAUUCUCGUGCCUAUUACGGUUUUGAUCAUUUUUCGAUUGACUUCAUCGGGAUCGAGACUGAUUGAACCAAUUUUGGUCGCUCAACCAUAGAUUUUGUCCCUUUUCGGUGAAUGGUCAUCGGAAUCAGUACUAGAGGAGGUCAGAUUCAAGUCGGAGUGAAGCUGGUGGUGUUUCCUGGCCACUAAUUCUGCCAUAACAAUGAUGAAACAGCCAUGAAAAGUGUUUUUUGAUGAGGUUCAAACAGAAUUAAUGGAGGAGGAAGAAAUAUUUCGAUUGAAUUUGGCCGAAAAUGGUCGCUUGUUUGUGAUUUAUUGCUGGAUUUGGUCGUGUGGUAGGUCAUUUUUGGUGAGAGAUGGAAGAUUUGGGCAAUCAAUUCGCUGAAAACCUCAAACCAGUCGGCUGGGAUGCCUCUGUUCUGUAUUCUUUCCCUUCUCACUCUAUUCCUCUUUCUCUCGCACUGUCCCAAUCUCUUUCCCCCGUCUCAAUCUCUCUCUCGUCUCCCUACUCUCACCCCCUUCCAAUGGUAUUCUCUCCUCUCUUCUUUAAUGGAGUGCCUUUCAGGAGGAUGAUGGUGUAGGCGUAUUAGUGAGAAAGGGGUGUGUAUGUGAUGAGUGUGUGACCA
rnacentral:lncRNA from 1 species